GGCGUGUAAACAGUUACGUCAAGUGCGUCAAGUCGAAUUCUAACCCCACUUUUUGAGGAUUUGUUGAUGACAGAUGCUUAAGUGCGGAAUUUGUGAAUGUUAUUAUCAAUUAAAAUAGAGCGUAUUAAAUAAUAAUUUAUUUGUAAUAAACAAUUUGGUUCAGCUUUUAAUGAAUACAUGAGUAUGGAAUCUUCGAAGAAAUUUAUAGAAUGUUGUAUUGAAAUGAAAAAGUGAAAUGAUGGAUGAAAUGAUUCCAUUGAAAUUGCUUCUGAGAACUGUGACUUGAAAAUUUAAUUUCUCUUCAGAUGCAAAGGUUCUUAGUUUUGAGAUAUGAGGAAAAUAGAUCAAACAAUCAAAUUAAAAUGAAAGAUUUACAGAAAUUCAUUAAAUACAUUAAAGGCAGGAAUGUAUCACAAGUAGAAAAUUUAUUCAGAAUUUACUGAGUGAUCGAAGGCCCUAACUGGAAAAUAAGGUUCAACGAAUAAUUGGUGUUUUAGAGGUUUUGAAUUCAAAAAGUUUAGAUGGAAAUCUUUUGAUAAAUACAAUAUGACAUGAUUGAAAAUCUCACGAAUGCAUUCUCUAUAGAAAGUAAGAAUGCGAAAGUAACUUUUAUCUCAUUUCAUUGAAGAAAACAACUACAAAUUUGGCAAUAAAAAAGUUAAUUAUUACACUACACAUGAAAUUAUAUCUCGAGCUAUCAUUGUAACGGAUGACAAAAUUAAGAUGGAAAUUAAUAAUCGGAUAAUAGAUUUUGGAUGCUACUUUGUAUGGCACAGAUCUUAACCCCAUGCUUAUUCAAAUGCAUUAAAAUAUAUUGAAUAGAAGAACAAGACCUGAAAGCAUAGAAGCAGAAAUUUUAAAGGAAAAUUCAUAAAAGUGAAUAAAAAAUGAUUAGUGUUAAUAAAACUGUAAUGAAAAUAAUAAACAGAGGAGCAAAAGGAAAUCAUUGAUUUGUUGUGCUCUCAUACGAUGGACCUGUUUUCGGCCAAACUACUAUUAAUUAUCAUUAUAUUGAAUUUGAAAUAUUGGGAACAGUAACAAAUAAUAAAACUUUAACAUUGAUGAAAUUUGUGCACGCUAUAUAAAA